GGUCUUUAAGUCUGAUGUGAAAGCCUUCGGCUUAACCGGGGUAGUGCAUUGGAGACUGGGAGACUUGAGUGCAGAAGAGGAGAGUGGAACUCCAUGUGUAGCAGUGAAAUGCGUAGAUAUAUGGAAGAACACCAGUGGCGAAAGCGGCUCUCUGGUCUGUAACUGACGCUGAGGUUCGAAAGCGUGGGUAGCAAACAGG
rnacentral:rRNA from 1 species